GUCGAGAAUCAUUCGCAAUGGGCGAAAGCCUGACGAUGCGACGCCGUGUGAGCGAUGAAGGCCUUCGGGUUGUAAAGCUCUUUCGCUUGGGAACAAGAGAUGCUGGCUAACAUCCAGCAAAUUUGAGGGUACCAGGUAAAGAAGCACCGGCUAACUCCGUGCCAGCAGCUGCGGUAAUACGGAGGGUGCAAGCAUUAAUCGGAUUUAUUGGGCGUAAAGGGCGCGUAGGCGGAGAUGUAAGUCAGAUGUGAAAUCCCGGGGCUCAACCUCGGAACAGCAUUUGAAACUGCAUCCCUUGAGGGUAGGCGGAGAAAAUGGAAUUCCACAAGUAGCGGUGAAAUGCGUAGAUAUGUGGAAGAACACCAGUGGCGAAGGCGAUUUUCUAGCUUAUUCCUGACGCUAAAGCGCGAAAGCAAGGGGAUCAAACAGGAUUAGAUACCCUGGUAGUCC
rnacentral:rRNA from 1 species